UCCCCGGUAGCUCAGUGGGUAGAGCAACCGCCUGUUAAGUGGAAGGUCCGUGGUUCGAGUCCACGCCGGGGAGCCA
rnacentral:tRNA from 1 species